rnacentral:rRNA from 1 species
AGUGAACGCUGGCGGUAGGCCUAACACAUGCAAGUCGAACGGCAGCACAGUAAGAGCUUGCUCUUACGGGUGGCGAGUGGCGGACGGGUGAGGAAUACAUCGGAAUCUACUUUUUCGUGGGGGAUAACGUAGGGAAACUUACGCUAAUACCGCAUACGACCUACGGAUGAAAGCAGGGGAUAUUCGGACCUUGCGCGAUUGAAUGAGCCGAUGUCGGAUUAGCUAGUUGGCGGGGUAAAGGCCCACCAAGGCGACGAUCCGUAGCUGGUCUGAGAGGAUGAUCAGCCACACUGGAACUGAGACACGGUCCAGACUCCUACGGGAGGCAGCAGUGGGGAAUAUUGGACAAUGGGCGCAAGCCUGAUCCAGCCAUACCGCGUGGGUGAAGAAGGCCUUCGGGUUGUAAAGCUCUUUUGUUGGGAAAGAAAAGCAGCAGGUUAAUACCCCGCUGUUCUGACGGUACCCAAAGAAUAAGCACCGGCUAACUUCGUG